AAAUGCCUGGAAGCCACAAAUAUGCUUUCCAUCUCUAUGGAUUUGCCAAUGUGGUAUUUUGUGUCAGUUUUCUUUCACUUAGCAUGAUGUUUUCAAGGUUGAAUUCAAGCUAAAUAAAGACACAUCGUCAUUCCCCGGUAGACUUUUACAACAUGACCUUGAAAGAAACUACUCAAGUAGGCAAGUCUGCUAGAUUGAAAGCUGCAUAAUGGCAAGGACACCAUCUAACAAACAGCCUAUAAACCUUAGAGGUGUGUCAUAUACUUUGUGGACCCUAACUACGAACUAUAUGGGCUGGAAAUGAAAACUGCCACGAGGUCCUUAACAGCAUUUGGAGAUUCUUACAUUAAGACACCUUCAAAAUCCAGAAUCCAGCAGGGCUGUCAUAGUGCUGGCCCAAAUAUAUCUGGUGAUCAUAUUAAUUUGGUGAGCUCAUCAUUGUCAUCAUUUCCUAUUCUUCAACGUUCUUCUGAAGAGAAAAUUCUUUACUCAGACAGGUUGAGCCUAGAAAGACAAAAGCUGACCGUAUGUCCUAUCAUCAAUGGGGAAGACCACCUUCGUUUGUUGAACUUUCAACACAAUUUUAUAACUCGGAUACAAAAUAUUUCUAAUCUACAGAAGUUAAUAUCCUUGGAUUUAUAUGAUAACCAGAUUGAAGAAAUUAGUGGGCUUUCGACUCUGAGAUGUCUUCGUGUCCUUCUGUUGGGGAAAAACAGAAUCAAGAAAAUCUCAAAUCUGGAGAAUCUAAAAAGCUUAGAUGUCUUGGAUCUUCAUGGAAAUCAGAUUACCAAAAUUGAAAAUAUUAAUCAUUUGUGUGAGUUGAGAGUUUUAAAUCUUGCCAGGAACUUUUUAAGUCAUGUUGAUAAUCUUAAUGGGCUGGAUUCACUAACUGAACUUAACUUGCGACACAAUCAAAUCACUUUCGUGAGAGAUGUGGAUAAUUUGCCCUGUCUCCAACAUCUCUUUCUCAGCUUCAACAAUAUAUCUAGUUUUGACAGUGUUUCCUGCCUUGCUGACUCUUCUUCCCUCUCGGACAUCACCUUUGAUGGCAAUCCCAUAGCUCAAGAGUCAUGGUACAAACACACUGUCCUUCAGAAUAUGAUGCAGCUGCGCCAGCUAGAUAUGAAGAGAAUCACGGAAGAAGAAAGGCGUAUGGCAUCUGUUUUAGCCAAAAAAGAGGAAGAGAAGAAGCGGGAAAGUCAUAAACAAUCUUUGCUUAAGGAGAAGAAAAGGUUAACAAUUAACAACGUAGCUCGACAGUGGGACUUGCAACAACAACGAGUAGCCAAUAUUGCUACAAAUGAAGAUAGAAAAGAUUCUGACUCUCCUCAGGACCCCUGUCAGAUUGAUGGAAGCACCCUCUCUGCAUUCCCAGAGGAAACAGGGCCUCUAGACUCAGGACUCAACAAUGCUUUACAAGGUUUAUCUGUCGUAGACACAUACCUUGUUGAAGUGGACGGGGAUACACUUUCCCUGUAUGGCUCAGGAGCACUGGAAUCUCUCGAUAGGAAUUGGAGUGUUCAAACAGCAGGAAUGAUCACAACAGUCUCCUUCACUUUCAUAGAAUUUGAUGAAAUCGUCCAAGUGCUUCCUAAACUGAAGAUUAAGUUUCCUAAUUCUCUGCACCUUAAGUUCAAGGAAACAAAUCUUGUAAUGCUGCAGCAAUUUAACGCACUAGCGCAACUCCGUCGUAUUGACCAGUUGACAAUUGAUCCUCAAGGAAAUCCAGUUGUCAAUUUUACACUCUGGAAAUACUAUGUACUGUUUAGGCUAAGCCAUUUUAGUAUGCAGAAAAUAAAUGGAACAGAGGUGACACAGAAUGAUAUGAUAAUGGCUGAAAGGCUCUUUGGAAUCUUAGCACAUGUAGCGUCUUCUGAGUUACCCCAGUAUCGUCUGAUUUCCAUUCUGGGUGAUGCCAGGAAAAAGCAAUUUCGGUAUCUGCUAGAAUCCAAAGGAAAAAAACCUGGUAUUAUCAAUGAAGAAAAUAAUGACAGCAAAAGACUUGUAGGAGAAAACACAAAUCGUGCUACAUUAAAUUACACUACAAGAGACUUUUAUAAUGAAAAGCUAGAGGAAAUAAAGGAAAAGAAGAAAUUCUGUAAAACAUAUAUAGAAGACCUUGUGAAGGAAGCCACAGAAAUCAACAUGAAAAAUGAGGCUUUGCAGAAGCUUUGGCCACAGAUGUUCAUUGAGCUUGUUAGGGAUGCAGUCAUAGAAAUUCGCAAUAAAAAUUCCUAUAUGAAGCUCUGCCUACAGCAGAUAACAGACCAAAAAUAAAAAUGGCCUUUAGUUAC
rnacentral:sRNA from 1 species